UACGUAGGGUGCAAGCGUUGUCCGGAAUUAUUGGGCGUAAAGAGCUCGUAGGCGGUUUGUCGCGUCUGCUGUGAAAAUCCAGGGCUUAACCCUGGACCUGCAGUGGGUACGGGCAGACUAGAGUGCGGUAGGGGAGAUCGGAAUUCCUGGUGUAGCGGUGAAAUGCGCAGAUAUCAGGAGGAACACCGGUGGCGAAGGCGGCGACCUGGUCCGACACGUGACGCUGAGGCGCGAAAGCGUGGGGAGCAAACAGG
rnacentral:rRNA from 1 species